CACUAGGGCCUGAACCCAGAUCGGCCCGGGGUCCUUUGUGUGCAGGCA
rnacentral:miRNA from 1 species